AUUGAACGCUGGCGGCAGGCUUAACACAUGCAAGUCGAGCGGGGGAAGGUAGCUUGCUACCGGACCUAGCGGCGGACGGGUGAGUAAUGCUUAGGAAUCUGCCUAUUAGUGGGGGACAACAUCUCGAAAGGGAUGCUAAUACCGCAUACGUCCUACGGGAGAAAGCAGGGGAUCUUCAGACCUUGCGCUAAUAGAUGAGCCUAAGUCGGAUUAGCUAGUUGGUGGGGUAAGGGCCUACCAAGGCGACGAUCUGUAGCGGGUCUGAGAGGAUGAUCCGCCACACUGGGACUGGGACACGGCCCAGACUCCUACGGGAGGCAGCAGUGGGGAAUAUUGGAGAAUGGGGGGAACCCUGAUCCAGCCAUGCCGCGUGUGUGGAGAAGGCCUUAUGGUUGUAAAGCACUUUAAGCGAGGAGGAGGCUACUUUAGUUAAUACCUAGAGAUAGUGGACGUUACUCGCAGAAUAAGCACCGGCUAACUCUGUGCCAGCCGCCGCAGUAA
rnacentral:rRNA from 1 species